rnacentral:rRNA from 1 species
UACGUAGGUGGCAAGCGUUGUCCGGAUUUACUGGGCGUAAAGAGCGCGCAGGCGGUCGUUCAAGUCGCGUGUGAAAGCCCCCGGCUCAACUGGGGAGGGUCACUCGAUACUGAUCGACUGGAAGGCAGGAGAGGGAAGCGGAAUUCCCGGUGUAGUGGUGAAAUGCGUAGAUAUCGGGAGGAACACCAGUGGCGAAGGCGGCCUCCUGGCCUGUUCUUGACGCUGAGGCGCGAAAGCUAGGGGAGCAAACGGG